UACAGAGGUCCCAAGCGUUGUUCGGAUUCACUGGGCGUAAAGGGUGCGUAGGCGGUCUGUUGCGUCGGCUGUGAAAACCCGGGGCUCAACUCCGGGCCUGCAGCCGAUACGGGCAGACUAGAGUUCGGCAGGGGAGACUGGAAUUCCUGGUGUAGCGGUGAAAUGCGCAGAUAUCAGGAGGAACACCGGUGGCGAAGGCGGGUCUCUGGGCCGAUACUGACGCUGAGGAGCGAAAGCGUGGGGAGCGAACAGG
rnacentral:rRNA from 1 species